rnacentral:tRNA from 1 species
AAACAGGUAAGCUAAUAAAGCUAAUGGGUUCAUACCUCAUUUAUAAAGGUUUUACAUUCCUUUCCUUUUUA